UACAGAGGUCUCAAGCGUUGUUCGGAUUCAUUGGGCGUAAAGGGUGCGUAGGUGGCGCUGUAAGUCGGGUGUGAAAUUUCGGAGCUUAACUCCGAAACUGCAUUCGAUACUGCGGUGCUUGAGGACUGGAGAGGAGACUGGAAUUCAUGGUGUAGCGGUGAAAUGCGUAGAUAUCGUAAGGAAGACCAGUGGCGAAGGCGGGUCUCUGGACAGUUCCUGACGCUGAGGCACGAAGGCCAGGGGAGCAAACGGG
rnacentral:rRNA from 1 species